GACGAACGCUGGCGGCGUGCCUAAUACAUGCAAGUCGAGCGAAUCUCAGGGAGCUUGCUCCCUGAGAUUAGCGGCGGACGGGUGAGUAACACGUGGGUAACCUGCCUGUAAGACUGGGAUAACUUCGGGAAACCGGAGCUAAUACCGGAUACUUUCUUUUCUCGCAUGAGGGAAGAUGGAAAGAUGGUUCUGCUAUCACUUACAGAUGGACCCGCGGCGCAUUAGCUAGUGGGUGAGGUAACGGCUCACCAAGGCAACGAUGCGUAGCCGACCUGAGAGGGUGAUCGGCCACACUGGGACUGAGACACGGCCCAGACUCCUACGGGAGGCAGCAGUAGGGAAUCUUCCGCAAUGGACGAAAGUCUGACGGAGCAACGCCGCGUGAGCGAAGAAGGCCUUCGGGUCGUAAAGCUCUGUUGUUAGGGAAGAACAAGUACGAGAGUAACUGCUCGUACCUAGACGGUACCUAACCAGAAAGCCACGGCUAACUACGUGCCAGCAGCCGCAGUAA
rnacentral:rRNA from 1 species